GAUGAACGCUAGCGGCAGGCUUAAUACAUGCAAGUCGAACGGUAACGGGUCUAGCAAUAGAUGCCGACGAGUGGCGCACGGGUGCGUAACGCGUAUGCAACUUACCCUUAACUGGAGAAUAGCUCGAAGAAAUUCGGAUUAAUACUCCAUAAUAUUUUCCUACGGCAUCGUAGGAUUCUUAAAGCUCCGGCGGUUAAGGAUGGGCAUGCGUGACAUUAGUUUGUUGGUGAGGUAACGGCUCACCAAGACAACGAUGUCUAGGGGAUCUGAGAGGAUUGUCCCCCACACUGGUACUGAGACACGGACCAG
rnacentral:rRNA from 1 species